rnacentral:rRNA from 1 species
GCUAAAAAUCUAGCCCAAACUUACCCCAAUGCACUUAUAAAUUUACUUCUAUAAACUAAAACAUUAUACCGUUCUAGUAAAGGAGAUUGAAAAACUUACCGGCGCAAUAGACACAGUACCGCAAGGGAAAGAUGAAAUAAUAAAUGAAAAACUCUCAAGCAUAAAAAAGCAGAGACCCACCCUCGUACCUUUUGCAUCAUGGUUCAACUAGUCCAAUCAAGCAAAAAGAAUUACAGUUUGACCCCCCGAAACUAAGCGAGCUACUUCGAGGCAGCUUUUUGAGCUUACCCGUCUCUGUUGCAAAAGAGUGGGGAGACCUCUAAGUAGCGGUGACAAGCCUAACGAGCUUAGUGCUAGCUGGUUACUCAAGAAAAGGAUUUUAGUCCAUCUUAAAGCUUAUACCCUACCCUAAAAUUUUAAUUAGGCUUUAAAGCAAUUCAAAUAAGGUACAGCCUAUUUGAAACAGGAGACAACCUCAACUGACGGGUACAAUAUACUAUCCUACAUCCUCCCCCAGUGGGCCUAAAAGCAGCCACCUGUGAAAAAGCGUCACAGCUUAAUCUGAUUUACUUGUUCAAUCCCCUCCAUAAUUUUUAACCCUCUUCCCCUACUGAGUAGUUCUAUACCCCUAUAGAAGAUUCCCUGUUGAAACUAGUAACAAGAAGGAAGACCUUCUCUUUAAUGCAAGCAUAAAUCAGAAAGGACACACCACUGAUAAUUAACGUCCAUGAACUCAAAAUAACAACUUUUUCACAAGAAAAACCUACUUAACUGUACGUUAACCUAACACAAGAGCACUCCAAGAAAGAUUAAAAGAAAAAGAAGGAACUCGGCAAACAUUAACCCCGCCUGUUUACCAAAAACAUCGCCUCUUGCAUAAAAAUAAGAGGUCCAGCCUGCCCAGUGACUCAUGUUCAACGGCCGCGGUAUCCUAACCGUGCGAAGGUAGCGUAAUCACUUGUUCUUUAAAUGGGGACUAGUAUGAAUGGCAUCACGAGGGUUAUACUGUCUCCUUUUUCCAAUCAGUGAAACUGAUCCCCCCGUGAAGAAGCGGGGAUAGAUAUAUAAGACGAGAAGACCCUAUGGAGCUUUAAACCUCCCUUCAAGUGCCGCUACUCUUUUCUCACCCCAUUAACAUUUACCCGAGCACUAUGAAGCCAAGUUUUAGGUUGGGGUGACCGCGGAGCACAAAAAAACCUCCACGUUGAACUAGGCCUCAAAACCUUGAUCAAAGGACCACAAUCCUAUGCACCAAAAAAUUUACACUCAUUGACCCACUUACAUGAUCAACGAACCAAGUUACCCUAGGGAUAACAGCGCAAUCUACUUCAAGAGCCCCUAUCGACAAGUGGGUUUACGACCUCGAUGUUGGAUCAGGGUGUCCCAGUGGUGCAGCCGCUACUAAUGGUUCGUUUGUUCAACGAUUAAAACCCU